ACAUUUUCCAUCAGUCAUAUUAGUCUUCACACACUCCCUCCCGUAGGAAUAAUUUGGGGGAAAAAUAAAAGAAGGAAAGAAGAAGAGAGAGAGAGAGAGAGAAAAGAGAAGAGCCAUCAACCCUCUCCUUCAUUACAUCCUUCCGUAGCCAAUCUUCAGCAAAAGAAAAUAGAGAAAAGAGAGAAGAGAAAGAAGGGAAGAAAGGAAGAAAGAAGAAGAGGAAACCAUGGAAGCAUGAAGGAAGAAUACGAACUCAAAAGGUAAAACAAAAACUUUUCAUCUCUUUAAUUUUCCUAAGAGUUUGAUUUGUUGAAAGUUGGGUUAUAGGGGAUCAUGAUGGAUCCAAAGUAAUAAGGAAGUAUAUGAUAAAAAUUUUAUGUUUAAUCCAUGUCAUAAUAGAAUUUAAGAUCAAAAAGUUGGGCAUAUGUUUGAGGAUAAACAAAAGUUAUGUUGAGGACUUAAUCAAACUUGUAAAAGUGUUGAUGGUUGAUUUAUGUGUAAAAUCUGAGGAGGAGGAUUUAUAGAUUAAGAAGUUAUGGAAAUAUUCUAAUUUAAAAGAACUAAAAAUGAUUUAAAUUGAAGUUGUGAUGAAAGUUUUUGUAAAACAUGUUAAACGAUGAAAAACUUAGUCUUGGGGGACUUUGGAGCCAAAUUUCAGAAUAAUUAAUGAAUCUAAAAAAUUAUGAAAUCAUGGGGGUUUUGUAGAGCAUGUUACAAGCUUUCCAUAGCCUCGAAAACAGAUUAAUUCCGAUAACGGAUGAAGAAGUUAUGAAGAUUUAAAGUAUGUGUAUCAAAAGUUGUAAAAUCUAAAAAAUUGGAGUUAAGUGCCAAGGGUCGAGUGCCUAGGCACUAGGCUCGGCGCUUAGAAUUUGUUCUUGGGUGCCUAGGUGCUUGCCCAAGGCCAAAUUUGGGCGCCUAGACGCUGGUCUAGUGUUAAGCCAAAAUCUGUUUGGACGUCCUUUAGUAAAUUGGGCAUAACAUUUUUAUACGAACUUCGAUUGAGGUGAUUUAGGAUGAUUCGGAAAGAUAACGAGUAGACCGAAAACUUUCAUUCUUUAUUUUCUGAGAUUUGAGGUCGGUAUCAAGGCUUAAAAUGACUAUUUUAGGGACUGAUGUGCAUUCAGAGGCAAUCGGAGGACGUCGGGCAUGCACGUAUGCAACGUGUAAUAUUUUCGACGAUAAAGAAUGUUGUUCUAAGUUGUAAAAAAUGAACAUUAUUAAAUAUAAUGAUAUUAUGCGAUAAAUAAAGACAACUUAAAUGAACAAUGAAUUAUUAUUUGGUGUAUAUGUUAUUCGAGAUAAUUAUGAUUUGAUGUUGAUCCUUAGUUUUAAUAGAAUUUGAAUUGUUUAUAAGUAAGGUAUUAAUUUGAUUCUUACAUAAGAAGUCACUAUGUAUUUCAUUCAAUAAUUGUCACAGUAGUUAUUACAUAGUGAUUCAUAUUAUUGAUUCUUAAUUAUGUAAGAAGUCACUCAGUCUUUUAUUCAAUAAUUGCCAUAGUAGUUAUUGCACAGUGACUCAUAUUAUUUGAUAUGAUAUAAUUAAACCAGUUGGCAGUAUUGAGAUUCUAUGUUAAUAAUUGUGAAUAAUGGUUCAAAGAUUGAAAAGGGUGUUGAUUAAAGAUAAGUAUGAUAUACAGAUGGUUGUUCAAUUAUUUUCUUUUUUACAAAAGUAAGUUUGGCAGGACUUGCCGACACUCUACUUUUACUAAAGUAGUAUGGACCACAACUCUAUUAUUGAACAAAUUUUAUUAAAACGUGUACAAGUUAGUUUAAUUUUCUCUGUGGGACCAUAAAUUCCACUACCAUUUUUAUAUACCUCAUUUGGUUAAUUUGUCAAAGCAGGUGUGCUAGUUGUUUACUAAAUUUUUAGUAUAAAUAGGUUGCUCGGUUGAGUAACUAAACACACACCAUCACUACACUAAAAAUAUAGAAUUCUUUUACUUCAAUAUUGUGAGUAUAAUAUUGUGAGUAUUUCUAUCGAGUGUAAUGUUACUCCAAGUGUAGAUAAGGAAUGCAAGCAUUGUUUAAGUUGAUCAAUUUCACAGAAAGUAGAAUCAAGUCACAUGUUAAGGUAAGUGAUAUCAUUAUUGUGGUAAAAGGGUAUCAUUUUUAUGGUAAAAGAAAUAUUAUUUUCUUUCAUACUCCAUGUUAUGGUAAAAUAUUAUUAUUCGUUUAUUCAGUUUAUCAUUAAAUGGUGAAAGGUCCUGAAAGGAUUAGAAUAUCCUUAAUAGUUUGUGAUUCAUCUAUUAUUAUGUUAUCAAUUUGGACUCUGGAUAAUUAAGUUAAAAAUCACUAAGAUCUAUGUUAUCUUAUUAUUCUGAUGAUUUAUGUUUAUUCAUUAUAUAUAUCAUUGUCAUCAUUCUCAUGCUUGUAUUGUGUUAAAAGUCAUCUAUGGCCAGUAGUGCAUAGAUGGACUUGGUAUGAUUAUGAACAGGGAUUAUUCGGUAUAAUCAUGACCGUAAUUUUACAAAUGAUGUGGUAAAAGUCAUCUUUGGCCCGUAGUGCAUAGAUGGACUUGGUAUGAUUAUGACCAGAGAUUAUUCGGUAUAAUCAUAACCAUAAUUGAAAACACGAAUAUCCUUGGCCCGUAGUGCAUGGAUAAUUCGUGGUCGUGAUACUAUUAAGCUGAGUCUCAGCAUUAUUGGUUUUACAGUUGUAUAUCUUUGGCCUGUAGAGCAAAGAUGGGCUGUCGCUUAUUGGUUUUACAGUUGUAUAUCUUUGGCCUGUAGUGAAAAGAUGGGCUGUUGAUUAUUGGUUUUACAAUUGUAUAUCUUUAGCCUGUAGUGCAAAGAUGGACUGUUGGUUAUUAGUUUUACAGUUGUAUAUCUUUGGCAUGUAGUGCAAAGUUGGACUGUUAAUUUACUUGAUUAUAAAUAUGAAUUGUGAUUUAAUUAUAAUCUGUGGUGGUUCAGGUGAAGACAGGUGAUGAGAGUUCUCUUUGUCUUGGGUAUAACCAAGAACUGUUGAUGAGUAUUACAGGAAUGAAAUAUUAACGAUGAACUUUUAAUCUAGGGGAUAUAGUAGACACUAUGUUCUACUUGAUUCUUCUAAUGGAUUGUUGAUUCCGCUGCUAUUAUGGUUGGAAACUUUUAUCUUCUACCAUAUGUUCUUAAUAUCUAAAUUAUUAUUGAUGAAGGCUAUUGAUAAUUUAAUUAUCUUAAGUCAUGAUAUUCUUUACUGGGCUAUUUGUGUUUACCCUUUUUCUUCACCACGCCUUUCAGGUAAUAAAAGUGUAGCUGGGACUAGCGGAGAGAACAUGUGUAUAAAGUGGUGAUACGAAUUAGUCACAAGCCUAAUCAAAUUAUGAAACGAUGUGACAUAAUAAUUGUACUGAGAAAUUAAAAUGUGUGUGACAUGUUUUAUACAUCAUUUGAUAUUUAAUUUUGGUGAACAACAAUAGGGUGAGGCGAAUCAGAAUUUGGAAGCGUCAAAGGUGCACUCCAUUAGAAUGAGGAGAACAAAAAUCUUCUCGUGUCCCUUCGGGGACUUGAUAUAAUUGCUGUUGUACUUUAUAUGGCAUUAUAAUAAUUUAAAUAUGAAUAUUGUCGUAUUAUAUACAUAACAAUAUUUGUAUUGAAACUCACAGUAUAUGAGUCGUCGUAUUUUGUACGACAGUUGUAUAAAUGGAGUUGUAAGUAGUGUAUUUUCUGGCAACCCAAGAUGGGUGAUGUAUACCUAUUUUGGGGGCAUCACAUUACUAGUGUUGCUCCAUAAAUAUGCAUAGAGAAUAGAAAUAUAACAAUUAAUAAUAAAGGUAUUAUAGGUAAAUUAUUGUAAAAAAUAGAUCGUUUAAGGUAAGUAGACAUUUAACUUGGGACUACCUAAAGUAGUACUCCCUCCGUCUCAGGAUAAAAGUCUUAGUUGACUUUAUGCGCAUAUUAAGAAAGAAGAUAAAAUGACAAAAUUGUCCAUAUUUAAUUUCUCAUUUAAUUGCAUAGUUUUCUGCACAUUACUAGUGAUGCUCCAUAAAUAUCCACAUAGAAUAUAAAUAUAACAAUUAAUAAUAAGGGUAUUAUAAGCAAAUUAUUAUAAAAAAUAGAUCAUUUAAGGUACGUAGACAUUUAAUUUGGGACUACCUAAAUUAGUAAUAAAGACUUUUAUCCUGAGACGAAGGAAGUAAUAAAGACUUUUAUCUUGGGACGAAGAGAGUAAUUUUUUUGUUUUUUAAAAUG
rnacentral:lncRNA from 1 species